rnacentral:rRNA from 1 species
UGCAGAGGGGGCAAGCGUUGUUCGGAAUUACUGGGCGUAAAGGGCGCGUAUGCGGCCUGCUAAGUCGAACGUGAAAUCCCUGGGCUCAACCCAGGAACUGCGUCCGAUACUGGUUGGCUUGAAUCCGGGAGAGGGAUGUGGAAUUCCAGGUGUAGCGGUGAAAUGCGUAGAUAUCUGGAGGAACACCGGUGGCGAAGGCGACAUCCUGGACCGGUAUUGACGCUGAGGCGCGAAAGCCAGGGGAGCAAACAGG